AUGCUUAACACAUGCAAGUCGAACGGUAACGCGGGGGCAACCCUGGCGACGAGAGGCGGACGGGUGAGGAACGCUUGGGAAUCUGCCCAUCAGCGGGGGACAACCCGGGGAAACCCGGGCUAAUACCGCAUACGCUCUACGGAGGAAAGCCGGGGACCGCAAGGCCUGGCACUGAUGGAUGAGCCCAAGUCGGAUUAGCUAGUUGGCGGGGUAACAGCCCACCAAGGCGACGAUCCGUAGCUGGUCUGAGAGGACGAUCAGCCACACUGGGACUGAGACACGGCCCAGACUCCUACGGGAGGCAGCAGUGGGGAAUAUUGGACAAUGGGGGAAACCCUGAUCCAGCGACGCCGCGUGGGUGAAGAAGGCCUGCGGGUUGUAAAGCCCUUUCGGUAGGGACGAGAGCUCUCGACCUAACACGUCGAGAGGAUGACUUAACCUACAAAAGAAGCACCGGCUAACUCUGUGCCAGCAGCCGCGGUAAUACAGAGGGUGCGAGCGUUAAUCGGAAUUACUGGGCGUAAAGCGCACGUAGGCGGCUUGGCAUGUCGGGUGUGAAAUCCCCGGGCUCAACCUGGGAACUGCAUCCGAAACUGCCUUGCUAGAGUAUGGGAGAGGGAAGUGGAAUUUCCGGUGUAGCGGUGAAAUGCGUAGAUAUCUGAAGGAACACCAGUGG
rnacentral:rRNA from 1 species